rnacentral:tRNA from 1 species
GACAAGAAAUAUGGGGUCUUCUAAAUCCUAUUUGGUUUUCACCUCUUGUUU